AGCCCUGACUCGCCCGUCGCUGAAAUUGCUGCCCCGCACGAGGGUUUCUUCCGCCGCCGCGCCCCCAUCCCUCCGCCGCCGCCGUCCCUCCACCCUAUGGUACCCGUCCUCGAUCCGUGGUCACCAAAUCUGGACGAGAUCGGCAGGAUCCGCCGCAUGUCCCGCGACACCUAGCCGCAGCUGCUCGUCGGCCAUGCGGGAGCACGGACGAGCUGCUCGUCGACGUCCAUCCCGCAGCCCCGCUGACGACCGUGCCCAGCCUCCUCAACAGCGCGCCUCUCCAACUUGCCGCAUGCCAAAUUUUAGUAGGGGAAGGAUGGAUACCGCAAGGCUUUCAUAUGUGUUUUGAUUUUGCCGAUAGGGAUUUCUAAUAUUCUGACAAGAGUCAAACUAGCAAUCGUGAAGAUGGAGAAUUCAUGCAACUCCAUCUUACUUCAACCCUCAGCCAUCUAAUUGGUGGUAUGGUGUGCUUCUGAUGGUAUUUCACGGCGUUUGUACCAGCAGCAUAGUAAAAAACUCCCGUCAACACGGCUUAUUUAUCGUUUCUGGAGGGCCUCACAGAUGAACUAUUCAUCGGCGGCACCCUGCCAGUCAUUUAGAGGAUCUGCGGGAACAAAUAAACAAGCAGAGCGUCAUCAGUCAGGGACCAACAUCCAUGCCAACUGCCCAAGAUGACUGCUAAGGCAAUUAAUAUUCUCUCUCAAUCUUCAGCCACCAUCUGAUGUUAAUUGAUCUUGAUCUUCUCCACUCGCCAAUUCUGAAGACACUUCGGAUCUCACAUUAACUUCAUUCAGUCUUUAAGAAUAAUCAAAGAAUAGACAUAUGGAUCUCAAAGCUAUGGAUCAUGCGCCCAUACAAAAAAGGACAACUGACUAGAUUGAUGAUACGUUAUGGCAAGAAGGCUAUAUAUUCAUGGGUGCAAACGGGGCCAGUGAGUAGGCGGCGAGUAUACUACGCCGAGAAGCGAUACAGGGGCAUGAAUCUUGAGCCGGUGUGCGCAACGACCUGCGCUACUGCACUAAUAGCCUUGACAGAGCACUAGGGCCGGCUCGACAGGGCAUGCAGCCCGCCGGUGGACGCCUGAAUGUGCGCGACGGAGAUGAACCCCGCGUCGUCGCCUCUGUAGCCUGGACAGAGCUCCGCCAGUGCUCGUGAUGAACCCCAUGUAUGUGCUGGUGAUGGCGCUCUCCGUCUACUUUCUCCACCGGCUAUCAGAGAGUAGAGAUCACAUUGUGGAUUUGUGCUUUCUUCAGAGAUGUGCUCCUGUCGUUGUUGGUUGUCAAAUUUGUGAUGCAAUCCGUCCCUAUGUCGAUGUCUUAACCACUUCGUACUACCGCACAAUUAGCAGAACAUAGCAGAUGCCGCAGUUUACCCAUUGAUUUCUUGGAGUGAUUCAAACCUAGGAAAGCCUGCUACUUGUGCAAGCAACAGGCUGCAGCAUUGGUCAACUGGCUUGAGCACAGCUCACAUGAGUCAUCGCCAAAUGACCCUUUUCUGAAAUUCACUGAGAGAGGAGUUACUCCAUGUCAGUAUGUACAUACAGAUGCAAGCAAUGGAUAAACUCAUGAAGACCAUGUCUAUUAGUCCUUCAGUAUUUUUUGGAAUGAGAUGACACGUUGUAUGCCAGGUAACAAGCAACUGAAGCAAGGGAAAGAAUGAGCCCCUGAACCCAGGAUGCAUGGCGAAGGAUCCAAUAUGUCAGGACCAAUGAGGGAAUUGCAGAGCUUCAUAUACAUUUGCCUUCUUCAAGUGUCUAGAUUACAUGAAACAUGUUUCUUCAAGUGUCUACACACUACAGGAAAUAAGUUUCUUAUGGAAGUAGUCAAACCUGGAUACCAAUUCAUUGGAACCAUUAUAUUCCUUAUAGAAGUAAUGCAAUAUAUUCUCUCUCU